GUUUUGAACCCAGACAUGGGCUGGGGAAGAAAUUUAAGCAAGGGAAGAGCUAGUGCCCCAACAACUAGAUCCGAAAGCGUAGGAAAGACCCUCGCAAACAUACAGUUAGCAAUACAACAAGCAUAAUGCCCUCUGUUAUUUAUAUAUUACCAAUGUAGAUGUAUUGGUAUAUCGCGUUGGGAUGUGUGGAACUAUUCUCAUGCCUUCUCAGUUAUUGCAUGAUGACUAGUUGAGGGAUAUAGCGCAAUGAAAUUGAUGAAAAAACUCAUGAGUGGUGGAAGGUCUUUUACUUUUUUCAAGCAUAAAAGAUUUUCAAAAUUGACAAAGUUUGAUGGAUCCAUAUCUUCUAUUGGCAGCUAAGUCAUGAACUCCUACCCUCCAUGGCUCUUAGCUUUUUCUU
rnacentral:misc_RNA from 1 species